rnacentral:rRNA from 1 species
GACGAACGCUGGCGGUGUGCUUAACACAUGCAAGUGGUGCGACGAACCAGAGCUUGCUCUGGGGCAAAGCCGCGAACGGGUGAGUAACACGUGGGUAAUCUACCCCGAUGACCGGGACAACCCGAGGAAACUCGGGCUAAUACCGGAUGUGGUGCGGAGACAUAAGUCUCUUCACUAAAGGUAGCUUCGGCUUCCGCAUUGGGAGGGGCCCGCGGCCCAUUAGCUUGUUGGUGGGGUCAAGGCCUACCAAGGCAACGAUGGGUAGCUGGUCUGAGAGGACGAUCAGCCACACUGGGACUGAGACACGGCCCAGAUUCCUACGGGAGGCAGCAGUGGGGAAUCUUGCGCAAUGCGCGAAAGCGUGACGCAGCAACACCGCGUGAGGGAAGAAGGCCUUAGGGUUGUAAACCUCUUUCAGAUGGGACGAAGGUUCUCCGGUGAAUAGCCGAGAGGAUUGACGGUACCGUCAGAAGAAGCUCCGGCUAACUACGUG